rnacentral:lncRNA from 1 species
AGCAAAACUGUGUUGAAUGAACUGUAGAUGGAAAUUCUCUCCUUCCCACCGAGGAGCCGCUGCAGGUUGCAGACUCCCAGAAUGCCACACUGAGAAGAGGAGGGCUAAAAUUCUAGAGCAGAAUCCCUGGGGCAGCCCCUGCUGAAGAAGGGUGCAUCUGUUGAGAAUCUCAUCACCGCCCCCACCCCGCCCAGCCUUCAAUUUAGAGGAAUUUCUAGUUCACGCAGAAUGAAGACAAGAUCACAUAAGUGAGGACGACGCCCCAUUUACAAGUGUGAUUUGGAAGACUGAAGUGGAAACCUUGGGAAGGGGCCUCAGAGUAUGUCAGCUGGGGUCAGACGGGAACAGGAGUCUGGCUCAACACACAUUUAUUGCACUCCUGUUUCAUGCCAAGAAAUGUACCAAAAUCUGGGACUGUGUAACACAGCAAAGGAAAAGACUCAUCUCCAGGAAGCCCCCUUGUCUAGGAAGAGAAAUUGAAUAUCAGCAUAAGGUGGUGAAAAGCUGUGAAGGAGAUGAGUGCCAGGAGUCCAUGGAGGAAGGAUUCUAGCCUGGACAGGUGAGGAAUGGCUUUCUGGAAGAAGCAGAUGCCCCAGCUGAACUUUAAAAUGCCCAUGUGAAAUGAACUGUCUGUAUCUUCAAUCAGCAAAUGGAGUAGGUGGCCACUGUUUAAUUCUGGAAUGGGGAAGUGUAAAGGUGUGGUGUGUGUGUUUACCCCUACUUAGGGAUUCAAAACAGACAGUAAAGAACAAAAGUCUAGCCCUUUGAGCAUUCUCCAUGGGACAUUUGAGGUCUAGCUGGCCCCAGAGAAAGAGAGACAGAAGCAAGGUCAUAUCCAUUUGAGAAAAUCAAAGUGUCUGCUCCAA